rnacentral:lncRNA from 1 species
GUUCCUGAAGGGUCUGUCAUUCCCAGAGGAAACGUUCUUUUCACAGUGGAAAACACUGAUCCAGAGUGCUACUGGCUUACAAAUUGGAUUGAGACUAUUCUUGUGCAGUCCUGGUAUCCAAUCACAGUGGCCACAAAUUCUAGAGAGCAGAAGAAAAUAUUGGCCAAAUAUUUGUAGAAACUUCUGGUAACUUAGAUGGUCUGGAAUACAAGUUACAUGAUUUUGGCUACAGAGGAGUCUCUUCCCAAGAGACUGCUGGCAUAGGAGCUUCUGCUCAUUUAGUUAACUUCAAAGGAACAGAUACAGUAGCAGGAAUUGCACUAAUUAAAAAAUAUUAUGGAAC